GGCAAUUCGAAAAUCAUCAUAGGUAGAUAUAACUAACUAAGAUGAGGAACCUAUUAUGGAUGGCUUUUCGUUUGUUCUGUGCUAUUCUUAUUCUCUUCCAAUAUCCCUCGUAUGGCGUCUGCUGUCCAAAUGAUACGAUGGGCAGUAGUCCUGGGUGUGCUGACAUUACUGGUCGCAAGGAGGACCGGCCCCCUCCACCUCCCGCACCAGCUAUAAGUGGACAUCCGUAACGUUAAAAAGAAAUUUGUGUUCUGGAGCAUUUAAUUCGUUGGAUCUAUAAAGCUAAGAGGAUGAGUGUUAUUCGGAAGAGCUUUUUGUAUGCUGCUCUUGCAGCUCUUGUAUAUCACAUUUGGAAAGUCCGAAAUGAUGUGUUCCAGAGCAACAAAUUAUGGCUUGUUGAUAAUACUGUACAAAGAGUUAUUAGGGAGAUUCAGGUUAGGAUCACACUUGUAAUGCCUAAAAAGGCUCAAACCAUAGAUAGAGAAUGGGUCUCUAAAAUCAGUAAAAAUGAGUUGUAUUUGUGGUUGGAUUGGUUGGUUUGUAUUUGGUUGGUUGUAACCUUUGGCUGUUGAGUAAUACAUUGAUUCUUAUUCAUAAAAAAAAAUAAAAAAUUUGUGAAAAUAAUAUAUUUUUGUAAGUCA